CGUAGGGUCCAAGCGUUAUCCGGAAUUACUGGGCGUAAAGAGUCGCGUAGGUGGCAGAGUAAGUUGGUAGUGAAAUCGUGUGGCUCAACCAUACACCCAUUACCAAAACUGCUCAGCUAGAAGAUGAGAGAGGUCGCUAGAAUUCCUAGUGUAGGAGUGAAAUCCGUAGAUAUUAGGAGGAAUACCGAUGGCGUAGGCAGGCGACUGGCUCACUCUUGACACUAAGGCACGAAAGCGUGGGGAGCGAACAGGAUUAGAUACCCUGGUAGUCCACGCCGUAAACUAUGGAUGCUAGCUGUUACGAGUAUCGACCCUUGUAGUAGCGAAGCUAACGCGUUAAGCAUCCCGCCUGUGGAGUACGGCCGCAAGGCUA
rnacentral:rRNA from 1 species